rnacentral:misc_RNA from 1 species
UAUUUUUUAUUUUUAUUUUUUUUAAAAUCUGGUUUGGCCUAGAACUGAACCAGCCUGUUCCAGUCCAGUUCAACACCUAUUUUAGUCAAUCCAGUUUUGACCGUUCCGGUUCCGAACUGGCCCACAGCCGGUCUAACUCUAAAGUGGUCCCACAUCACAUUGAGCAAUGCUAUAAAAAUGUCAUCAUUUUAGGAACUAGUUAAUAUUGAGGUAAGACUGAAUACAUAGUAGGUUCAGGUCAAGAUAGUGAAAUGUAGCAGUAAUAGUACCUUGAAAAAGUUGAUGCUGGAGAAGGAAGAUACAUGCACCCAGGUAAAAGAGGAAACAGAGAUGGAAAAAUAUCAGUAGAAUGUAAUAUUCAACCAAAAUUACAAGAAUAGGGGAUGCACUGUUUAAAUACAAAAAAAAUGCCUAAUAGUUCAAGUACCUAUUUAGAGGAUUAUGCCUUCCACAAGUCAAAUCAAUCCUAACAUUGCU